ensembl:lncRNA
CAAAAUUUGACAAGAUCAAUAGAUAUAGUGGAGGACAAAUUAUACCAGUGAGUUGUACUGAAAUUAUUAGAUAACCGCUAUUAUCUAAAUCAGUUAUAACAAGCUAAAAUAAGGUUAGUCAAUGAUUGAAUAAUGGUUCUGUUGGAGCAUCAGUAAAAAGAGAUUGAAAGGAAAAUUAGUCUUAUAAGAGAGAACGGAAAAAUAAACACUGAUCUGGCCCACAACACGAACCAGACCUGAGCAGAAAAAAAAUGCUUGCUAAGCUAUCUGUUUCACACAUGCACGGACAGAAGGUUCGAUAUUCAUUCGAUCGAUGAAUGAAAAGGCACAAUGGCAAAAUCGGACGGGCUCCUUUUCAAAUCCACGUCUCCGAUGUCCCCCCCGCCACCCUUCCACAGUCUGCAGUCGCUCGGCGGCUGGUGUGGCAGGCAGAGUGGAAGGAGAGGAGAGAGAAAGAGUGAGGGGAGAGCAAGGGUUACAUCAAGGCUGCUCCCUGGACCGUGCAAACAAGUCUAGACCAGUGACCUGUUCAAUGGCUCCUUUUGAGGAGCGGUGCAAGUUCGGUCAGGGCGAGGAGAAAGCCAGGCGGGCCCUUCUUUUCAGUGCCGGAGCAGCUCAAAGCCCGCGGCUGCCAGGAGGUAAGGAGGGCCGGGAGGGCAGGCAUCUGCUUCCAUGGUUACGGGCCGGGUAUGGGAACCCCGCUAUUGAGGAAGCUCCGUUCUCAUGCUCCCUCUGAGGCAAUGUCACGCAUUUUAAAAUACGGGCGGGCCGGGCUGGGGCGAGGACCAUAUCCACAGCAGCAGCAGAGUGAUAGGAAGAGAGUGAGAUUACUCCAUACCCUGUAAGGCACACAAACAACAAGGUACUGUGGAGCCCCCCCCCCUCUCUUUCUCUCUCAGUGUAUGCUCACUCACAGGACGAAAAGAAGUAGGUAGCCAAGGUGUAAGGGACGGGGUGGCUGAAGGGCUGCGUUCCUCAGACGGAGCAGAGCAGAACGCUCUCUCCUCCUCUCCCCUUGUCAUUGGUAUGCAGUGGCUGUUCCCCAGGCGACAGGGCCACUGGGUUCGGGCUGAGCUUACUGCAAGAGGAAAUUCAGUGACACAGAGGAGAGGAGGACAGCAGGUAAGGGUAAUGAGAACAGGCAGAGAAAGGAGAGGGGGAAAGAGAGAAGGAGGGAAGAAGAGGACAAGCGAAAGGAGGACAAGAUGUCCCAAGGGGCUUUGGGGGUGAGGCACCCCCUGACCCUUCGCACUCCGUACACUGUCCAGACACUAACACACACGCACACGCACACACACACACACACACACACACACACGCACACACACACACACACACACACACACACACACACACACACAAACCUAAACUCUUUUAAAAAAGGAGAACCCUUUUUGGUUCCAGGUAGAACCCUUUUUAGUUCAAUGUAGAACCCUCUGUGGAAAGGGUUCUACAUGAAACCCAAACGGGUUCUACCUGGAACCAAAAAUAGUUCAUCAAAGGUUUCUCCAAUAGGGGACAGCCAAUGAACCCAUUUAGGUUCUAGAUAGCACCUUUUUGUUUCUAAGUAUACAGUGCAUUCGGAAAGUAUACAGACCUCUUCACUUUUUCCACAUUUUGUUAUGUUACAGCCUUAUUCUAUAAUGGAUUACAUUUUUUUUUUAAAUUCUCCUUAUCAAUCUAUACACAAUACCCCAUAAUGACAAAGCAAAAACAGGUUUUUAGACAUUUUUGCAGACAAUGAGUAAAAAAUAUCGCUUUUACAGAAAUAUUCAGACCCUUUACUCAGUACUUUGUUGAAGCACCUUUGGCAGCAAUUACAGCAUUGAGUCUUCCUGGGUAUGACGCUACAAGCUUGGCACACAUGUAUUUGGGGUGUUUCACCCAUUCUUCUCUGCAGAUCCUCUCAAGCUCUGUCAGGUUGGAUGGGGAGCAUCGUUGCACAGCUAUUAUCAGGUCUCUCCAGAAAUGUUUGAUCACUUUCAAGUCUGGACUCUUGUUGGGCCACUCAAGGACAUUCAGAGACUUGUUCCGAAGCCACUCCUGCAUUGUCUUGGCUGUGUGCUUAGGGUCUUUGUCCUGUUGGAAGGUGAACCUUCACCCCAGUCUGAGGUCCUGAGAGCUCUGAAGCAGGUUUUCAUCAAGGAUCUCUCUGUACUUUGCUCUGUUCAUCUUUCCCCCGAUCCUGAUUAGUCUCCCAGUCCCUGCCACUGAAAAAACAUUGCCACAGAAUGAUGCUGCCACCACCAUGCUUCACCGUAGGAUUGGUGCCAGGUUUCCUCCAGAAGUGACUCUUUGCAUUCAGGCCAAAGAGUUCAAUCUUGGUUUCAUCAGACCAAAGAAUGUUGUUUCUCAUGGUCUGAUAGUCUUUAGGUGCCUUUUGGCAAACUCCAAGUGGACUGUUAUGUGCCUUUUACUGAGGAGUGGCAUCCAUCUAGCUACUCUAACGGCCUGAUUGGUGGAGUGCUGCAGAGAUGGUUUUCCUUCUGGAAGGUUCUCCCAUCUCCACAGAGGAACUCUCACAGAGGAACUCUCACGGAAAUACUUUCCGAAUGUGCUGUAUAUGUAUUAAAGGUCCAAUGCAGUUGUUUUAUUCUCAAUAUCAAAAAUUAUUUGUAGGUAACAGUUAAGUACCUUUACUGUGAUUAUUUUUUUAAGUAAAAUGGUCAAGAAAAAAACAUUUGCUUCUUCGCAAAGAGCACUGGGCCUUUAAUGGCAAAACACCCGACUAGACACUUUAUGUCAAGCGCACAUCAUGUAUCCAAAAAGCAAGAACAAAUGUAUUCUCUCUCACAAACACACAAGGGGAGUUUGGGCAAUGUUUGGUACUUUUGGCUUUUUUCUUUGUAAGAGCCUUUAUGACUAUAUAGUGAUAAUGUAAUGCUUCUUGAGAUACAUAUGUUAUAUCUUGUUAUAUCCAAUAUAUUGUAUUUUAUUAUGUUGUCACGUAAACAUGUUUUUUUUUCUUCAAAUACAUGUUUUACGUUUUUGAGAAUAGUGUUAUAAAGAAAGCAAAUGAUUGAAUGCAAACAGUGUAAAAUGUCGUUACAAAUUAUGUGAAAAU